GUAGAGGAAACAAAAUAAUGUGAAAAUACUACCUAAUGUUUACAUAUAGUAUUGAAAAUAAUGUUGUUAAUGUUUUGUUUAGUAAUCCUAAUUUUAAUAUGAUUUCUUUCACUGUAGAUGUCCACCUCGUACUUUCCUGCCAGCUCUCUGCAAAAUUUUCCUUGAUGAAAGUGCUCCAGACAAUGUCUUAGAGGUGACAGCCCGUGCCAUAACAUACUACCUGGAUGUUUCUGCAGAAUGCACCCGGAGGAUAGUAGGGGUGGAUGGAGCUAUAAAAGCACUUUGUAAUCGCUUGGUGGUAGUUGAACUUAACAACAGGACCAGCAGAGAUUUAGCUGAACAGUGUGUAAAGGUAAGUACAAAUAAAAAGUACAUUUUACUGGAAAAGUAAAAAUCUCUCAUCAUUUUUCUUUGAGAGAGGUUGAGAAUAGUCUUAAGUGACAACCAUUGUGGUAUCAAGGUUCCUUAAAGGUUGGGAAAUGAAAUCUCCUGAUGACGGCUAAAGGUAGAGAUAUGCUUCCUGCUUUGCUUGGGGCGGGGGGGGGGAGGGGGGUUUAGUUCUGGUCGUCACUAGCACUUGAGAGAAGUUAUUUAUCUUUUACCCAGAGUUAAUUGUGUAUAAAAAUAGUAACAAAGUUCACCAUGACAAAUAAUACGAGUACCCAGUACAGGCAGAAUUCUGAGUACUUUAAAGUCAUCAUGGUAGUUCUGUGAGUGGUACCAUUAAUAUCGUAGCUAUUUUACAGAUGCAAAAAAUCAGUGCACUUGAGCAGGUAGUAGUGACAGCAGAGAUUUGAAGAUUAGGAAGUCUGGUUUUAGGACUGGUCGACUUAGUUAUUUUAUUAUCAUCUCAUGAGUAAUCUGUUUAGUUGUCACAGAGAUGGCUCAGCAGUUAUGAGAGUUUGCUGUUCUUACAAAGGACCAGACUGGUUUCCAGCAUCCGCAUUGGAUGGCUAACAGCCACCUGUAACCACAGCUCUAGGGAGGAUCUAAUUGCUCUGGUCUCCAUGGGCACCUACAUUUAUACACAGAUACACACACACACACACACACACACACACACACACACACACACACAUGCUCCUUGUAAGAAUAACUGUAAAUUUUGUGCAUCUUUUAAAGUAUCAGCACCAAGUAAGUCGUUUAUUAGGAAUAUUUAGGGAAUACUUUUAGAUUGUUUUAUUUUGUAUUUUUGAGUCAGGGUCUUGCUAUGUAGCUCAGACUGGCCUUGAAUUCACCAACUGAGUUACAUCUCAGUUCCCUAGUUGAAGUUUUUGAGACAAGGUUUUGUUAUGUAGUCAAGUUGGCGUUGAACUCAAAAGAUUCUUUUGCCUGUUGUUUCUAGGUAUUGAGAAUGUAGGUGUGUGUGCUCACUAUACCCAACUAAAAGUUUCUUUUUCCCCCCUUUUUGUUUAUAAUGAGUGUUGUAGGCGAGUGCUUUACCCGUUGAGUUAUAUUUCCAGCCUGUUUUAUAAAGUUGAGACCCGCAGUGGAAAGGGUGGUACAGUUAACAUCUUCUGUUCACUCUGAUUUGCCAGUUGACAGUUUUUCUUUUCCUCCACUUCCUUCUCUUCUUUAGCCUUCUCUCUGAUCCCUUGAAAAUUAGUUAUGUUCAUCACAACUCACAUAUAAAUAUUUUAACACAUAUAUCCUAAGAAUGAUAAUAUUCUGUCAAACUACAGUGUUACUAUUCUUUGUAAAUCAAGUGAGUCUGUUACAUACAGUAUGCAGUUGGUAGACUCUGGUUGCCAAACAUGUUUUUUUGUUGACUGAAAAAAGUACUAAAUCUAAAAAAGGAUUAAAUCUAUACUUGAUAUUAUUUUUUCAUUUCUUUUCCCUAGACACUGUCCUUUUUAGAGAGUCCACGACAUUUAUGUUUUAUGAUGCUCUAUAUUGUAGGUUUGGCUAUGGUUGAUUUCUUUUUUUUUUUUAAAGAUUUAUUUAUUUAUUAUAUAUAAGUACACUGUAGCUGUCCUCAGAUACUCCAGAAGAGGGCAUCAGAUUUCGUUAUAGAUGGUUGUGAGCCACCAUGUGGUUGCUGACCUUCGGAAGAGCAGUCGGCGCUCUUAACCACUGAGCCAUUUCACCAGCCCCUUCAUUUUUUUUUUUUUUUUUUUUCUUUUGAUUGUCUGUUUUGAAACAGGGUCUCACUAUGUUAGCUCCCGCUGGUCUCACAAUCACAGAGAGCUCCCUGCCUCUAAUUUCCUUCUGAAAACUUUAUUUAUAAGGUGCUAUUCUGCUGCUUUUGUUACAUAAUUCAUACUUUAUAGCAUUGGAAGGUAUAUAUUGUAAACUAUUAUUGGUAGUUUGCUACUUCAGAAACAACGAAUAAUCCAAAGGACCACAAUAACAAAAACAAAAAAUAACAACAAC
rnacentral:lncRNA from 1 species